UACGGAGGAUCCCAAGCGUUUAUCCCGGGAUUUAUUGGGUUUAAAGGGUGCGUAGGCGGCUUUUUAAGUCAGGGGUGAAAGGACGGUGGCUCAACCAUCGCAGUGCCCCUUGAUACUGAAGAGCUUGAAUGAACUAGAGGUAGGCGGAAUGUGACAAGUAGCGGUGAAAUGCAUAGAUAUGUCACAGAACACCGAUUGCGAAGGCAGCUUACUAUGGUUUAAUUGACGCUGAGGCACGAAAGCGUGGGGAGCAAACAGG
rnacentral:rRNA from 1 species